ensembl:lncRNA novel transcript
CCCACAGGGGAGAUGGUCAGGCCAGUGUGGGGGCUAAUGAAUAAAUGCUACACUGUGCCCACUCAGGUCACGACCCCCAGGAGACCUGGAGGACUGAAUGCUGCUGCCCCCAAGGAGGAGGCUGCCGUCUUAUCCCAGGAGGGAGAGCAGGAAAAUAAAAAGGUUCAAAAGGAAGUUGCUGCGUAUCCAUCUGAGGCCUCUGAGGACAGCAAAGAGC